UUGUGAAGGUGAGUUGAGAAGCUUGCUGGAGGUAUCAGAAGUGCGAAUGCUGACAUGAGUAACGACAAUGGGUGUGAAAGACACCCACGCCGAAAGACCAAGGGUUCCUGCGCAACGUUAAUCGACGCAGGGUUAGUCGGUUCCUAAGGCGAGGCUGAAAAGCGUAGUCGAUGGGAAACAGGUUAAUAUUCCUGUACUUCUGGUUACUGCGAUGGAGGGACGGAGAAGGCUAGGCCAGCUUGGCGUUGGUUGUCCAAGUUUAAGGUGGUAGGCUGAAAUCUUAGGUAAAUCCGGGGUUUCAAGGCCGAGAGCUGAUGACGAGUCGUCUUUUAGAUGACGAAGUGGUUGAUGCCAUGCUUCCAAGAAAAGCUUCUAAGCUUCAGGUAACCAGGAACCGUACCCCAAACCGACACAGGUGGUCGGGUAGAGAAUACCAAGGCGCUUGAGAGAACUCGGGUGAAGGAACUAGGCAAAAUGGCACCGUAACUUCGGGAGAAGGUGCGCCGGCUAGGGUGAAGGAUUUACUCCGUAAGCUCUGGCUGGUCGAAGAUACCAGGCCGCUGCGACUGUUUAUUAAAAACACAGCACUCUGCAAACACGAAAGUGGACGUAUAGGGUGUGACGCCUGCCCGGUGCCGGAAGGUUAAUUGAUGGGGUUAGCGCAAGCGAAGCUCUUGAUCGAAGCCCCGGUAAACGGCGGCCGUAACUAUAACGGUCCUAAGGUAGCGAAAUUCCUUGUCGGGUAAGUUCCGACCUGCACGAAUGGCGUAACGAUGGCGGCGCUGUCUCCACCCGAGACUCAGUGAAAUUGAAAUCGCUGUGAAGAUGCAGUGUAUCCGCGGCUAGACGGAAAGACCCCGUGAACCUUUACUGUAGCUUUGCACUGGACUUUGAGCCUGCUUGUGUAGGAUAGGUGGGAGGCUUUGAAGCGUGGACGCCAGUUCGCGUGGAGCCAUCCUUGAGAUACCACCCUGGCAUGCUUGAGGUUCUAACUCUGGUCCGUAAUCCGGAUCGAGGACAGUGUAUGGUGGGCAGUUUGACUGGGGCGGUCUCCUCCUAAAGAGUAACGGAGGAGUACGAAGGUGCGCUCAGACCGGUCGGAAAUCGGUCGCAGAGUAUAAAGGCAAAAGCGCGCUUGACUGCGAGACAGACACGUCGAGCAGGUACGAAAGUAGGUCUUAGUGAUCCGGUGGUUCUGUAUGGAAGGGCCAUCGCUCAACGGAUAAAAGGUACUCCGGGGAUAACAGGCUGAUACCGCCCAAGAGUUCAUAUCGACGGCGGUGUUUGGCACCUCGAUGUCGGCUCAUCACAUCCUGGGGCUGAAGCCGGUCCCAAGGGUAUGGCUGUUCGCCAUUUAAAGUGGUACGCGAGCUGGGUUUAGAACGUCGUGAGACAGUUCGGUCCCUAUCUGCCGUGGACGCUUGAGAUUUGAGAGGGGCUGCUCCUAGUACGAGAGGACCGGAGUGGACGAACCUCUGGUGUUCCGGUUGUCACGCCAGUGGCAUUGCCGGGUAGCUAUGUUCGGAAAAGAUAACCGCUGAAAGCAUCUAAGCGGGAAACUUGCCUCAAGAUGAGAUCUCACUGGGAACUUGAUUCCCCUGAAGGGCCGUCGAAGACUACGACGUUGAUAGGCUGGGUGUGUAAGCGUUGUGAGGCGUUGAGCUAACCAGUACUAAUUGCCCGUGAGGCUUGACC
rnacentral:rRNA from 1 species